rnacentral:misc_RNA from 1 species
AAGGUGGGGCUAAUGACUGGGGUGAAGUCGUAACAAGGUAGCCGUACCGGAAGGUGCGGCUGGAUCACCUCCUAACAGGGAGACAACAAAAUGUUUAAUAUUAUUAUUUUGUCACCUUAGGUCGAUCGGUAUCUCACGUUCUUAAUUUACAAAGAAUUUCAUUUCCUAAGUUUUUCUAGGUCACACCCAUUAUUUUCCUGGGCCAUUAGCUCAGGUGGUUAGAGCGCACCCCUGAUAAGGGUGAGGUCCCUGGUUCAAGUCCAGGAUGGCCCAUAUCUCUAUGUUGGGGGUAUAGCUCAGUUGGUAGAGCGCCUGCUUUGCAAGCAGGAUGUCAGCGGUUCGAGUCCGCUUACCUCCACUGAUUACCACCUCUUCCAUAAUUCAAAGAAAGGAAAUGUUUUGAGCUGUGAUCAAAUUCUGAACGAAUCUAGCUUCCUAAUGAAAUUAUUAAGAUGCUGGACUCAUUGAAUUAAUUUCAUUGUUUUCAGAGAACCUUGACAACUGCAUAGAUUAUUUUUAAAGACAAAAAGCAUCUUUAAUGAUGCAGAUUUAUUAUUUGUGCGAAUGCAUUAAUAACAAUUCUAUUAAGCUGAUGCUUCAAUUUUGAAGUUAUUGGUCAAGCUACAAAGGGCUCACGGAGGAUACCUAGGCACACAGAGGC